rnacentral:rRNA from 1 species
UGGGGAAUUUUGGACAAUGGGCGAAAGCCUGAUCCAGCAAUGCCGCGUGUGUGAAGAAGGCCUUCGGGUUGUAAAGCACUUUUGUCCGGAAAGAAAUCCUUGGCUCUAAUACAGUCGGGGGAUGACGGUACCGGAAGAAUAAGCACCGGCUAACUACGUGCCAGCAGCCGCGGUAAUACGUAGGGUGCAAGCGUUAAUCGGAAUUACUGGGCGUAAAGCGUGCGCAGGCGGUUUGCUAAGACCGAUGUGAAAUCCCCGGGCUCAACCUGGGAACUGCAUUGGUGACUGGCAGGCUAGAGUAUGGCAGAGGGGGGUAGAAUUCCACGUGUAGCAGUGAAAUGCGUAGAGAUGUGGAGGAAUACCGAUGGCGAAGGCAGCCCCCCUGGGCCAAUACUGACGCUCAUGCACGAAAGCGUGGGGAGCAAACAGGAUUNGAUACCCUGGUAGUCACCCCUAAACGAUGUCAACUAGUUGUGGGGAUUCAUUUCCUAGUAACGUAGCUAACGCGUGAAGUUGACCGCC